rnacentral:rRNA from 1 species
CCUACGGGAGGCAGCAGUGGGGAAUAUUGGGCAAUGGAGGAAACUCUGACCCAGCGACGCCGCGUGCGGGAUGAAGGCCUUCGGGUUGUAAACCGCUUUCAGCAGGGAAUAAGCGCAAGUGAAGGUACCUGCAGAAGAAGCACCGGCUAACUAUGUGCCAGCAGCCGCGGUAAUACAUAGGGUGCAAGCGUUGUCCGGAAUUAUUGGGCGUAAAGAGCUCGUAGGUGGUUUGUUACGUCGGAUGUGAAAAUCAGGGGCUCAACCCCUGACCUGCAUUCGAUACGGGCAAGCUGGAGUUUGGUAGGGGAGACUGGAAUUCCUGGUGUAGCGGUGGAAUGCGCAGAUAUCAGGGGGGAACACCGAUGGCGAAGGCAGGUCUCUGGGCCAAUACUGACACUGAGGAGCGAAAGCGUGGGGAGCGAACAGGAUUAGAUACCCUGGUAGUCCACGCCGUAAACGGUGGGCACUAGUUGUGCGAACCUUCCACGGUUUGUGCGACGCNGCUACGACAUAGUGCCCGCCGUCGGGAGGACGAGUCGCGAGAAUUAAAACUUAAAGUAAAGUUAGACGGCGUGAGACGUGCCGAACGGACGACGACGAGGGAGGUAGG